rnacentral:rRNA from 1 species
GACGAACGCUGGCGGCGUGCCUAAUACAUGCAAGUCGAGCGAAUGAUAAGGAGCUUGCUCCUUAUCAUUAGCGGCGGACGGGUGAGUAACACGUGGGCAACCUGCCUAUAAGACUGGGAUAACUUCGGGAAACCGGAGCUAAUACCGGAUACGUUCUUUCUCGCAUGAGAAAAGAUGGAAAGACGGCAUCUCGCUGUCACUUAUAGA